UACGGGGGGGGCAAGCGUUGUUCGGAAUUACUGGGCGUAAAGGGCUCGUAGGCGGCCAACUAAGUCAGACGUGAAAUCCCUCGGCUUAACCGGGGAACUGCAUCUGAUACUGGAUGGCUUGAGUUCGGGAGAGGGAUGCGGAAUUCCAGGUGUAGCGGUGAAAUGCGUAGAUAUCUGGAGGAACACCGGUGGCGAAGGCAGCAUCCUGGACCGACACUGACGCUGAGGAGCGAAAGCCAGGGGAGCAAACGGG
rnacentral:rRNA from 1 species